UACGUAGGGUGCAAGCGUUAAUCGGAAUUACUGGGCGUAAAGCGUGCGCAGGCGGUUUUGUAAGUUUGUCGUGAAAUCCCCGGGCUCAACCUGGGAAUGGCGAUGAAGACUGCAAGGCUAGAGUUUGGCAGAGGGGGGUAGAAUUCCACGUGUAGCAGUGAAAUGCGUAGAUAUGUGGAGGAACACCGAUGGCGAAGGCAGCUCACUAAACCAUUAUUGACGCUGAGGCACGAAAGCGUGGGGAGCAAACAGG
rnacentral:rRNA from 1 species